GAUGAACGCUGGCGGCGUGCCUAAUACAUGCAAGUCGAGCGAACGGACGAGAAGCUUGCUUCUCUGAUGUUAGCGGCGGACGGGUGAGUAACACGUGGAUAACCUACCUAUAAGACUGGGAUAACUUCGGGAAACCGUAUCUAAUACCGGAUAAUAUUUUGAACCGCAUGGUUCAAAAGUGAAAGACGGUCUUGCUGUCACUUAUAGAUGGAUCCGCGCUGCAUUAGAUAGUUGGUAAGGUAACGGCUUACCAAGGCAACGAUGCAUAGCCGACCUGAGAGGGUGAUCGGCCACCCUGGAACUGAGACACGGUCACGACUCCUACGGGAGGCAGCAGUAGGGAAUCUUCCGCAAUGGGCGAAAGCAUGACGGAGCAACGCCGCGUGAGUGAUGAAGGUCUUCGGAUCGUAAAACUCUGUUAUUAGGGAAGAACAUAUGUGUAAGUAACUGUGCACAUCUUGACGGUACCUAAUCAGAAAGCCACGGCUAACUACGUG
rnacentral:rRNA from 1 species